UACGUAGGGGGGCUAGCGUUGUCCGGAUUUAUUGGGCGUAAAGAGCGUGUAGGCGGCCAGGUAGGUCUGCUGUGAAAAACUCGAGGCUCAACCUCGAGACGUCGGCGGAAACCAUCUGGCUAGAGUCCGGAAGAGGAGAGUGGAAUUCCUGGUGUAGCGGUGAAAUGCGCAGAUAUCAGGAGGAACACCGGUGGCGAAGGCGGGUCUCUGGGGCCGAUACUGACGUGAGGAGCGAAAAGCCGUGGGGGAGCGAACAGG
rnacentral:rRNA from 1 species